AUUGAACGCUGGCGGCAGGCCUAACACAUGCAAGUCGAGCGGAUGAAGGUAGCUUGCUACCUGAUUCAGCGGCGGACGGGUGAGUAAUGCCUAGGAAUCUGCCUGGUAGUGGGGGACAACGUUUCGAAAGGAACGCUAAUACCGCAUACGUCCUACGGGAGAAAGUGGGGGAUCUUCGGACCUCACGCUAUCAGAUGAGCCUAGGUACGAUUAGCUAGUUGGUGAGGUAAAGGCUCACCAAGGCGACGAUCGUUAACUGGUCUGAGAGGAUGAUCAGUCACACUGGAACUGAGACACGGUCCAGACUCCUACGGGAGGCAGCAGUGGGGAAUAUUGGACAAUGGGCGAAAGCCUGAUCCAGCCAUGCCGCGUGUGUGAAGAAGGUCUUCGGAUUGUAAAGCACUUUAAGUUGGGAGGAAGGGCAGUAAGUUAAUACCUUGCUGUUUUGACGUUACCGACAGAAUAAGCACCGGCUAACUUCGUGCCAGCCGCCGCAGUAA
rnacentral:rRNA from 1 species